GCCCCUAAAAAGACUAGAAUUGAAAAUACAACUUCGAAAGUCUAUCUGAAGCAUGUUCCUAAUAUAAAAGAAAUAAUUUAUAAUAAAGAAACACUUUUUGCUCCUCCCAUUUUAAGUCAGUCAAACACGUCGUUCUGCGAUAUGUCAAAAUUAACGGAUCAAAUAAUAGCGCUCCCAGGCAGAUCCUUCCUAGUAAUACAGCUUUAAUAACAAACAAUAGAAAAAUUGAGGCUAAAAAUUUUGCGUCCCACAGCUUAAAAUCUUUUGGUUUAGAAAAUAAAAGUAAUUAUCAAGCCAUUUUGGAAGGAAAAGGAAGCGUUCUCGGAUUGCCUAAUGAACUUGUUAAAUCUAUUGAGAAACGUCGAAUAGUACACAGAUUCUCUGAAAAGAAAAGGCGACAGGAGUUAAUGACGCUCUUAGGCGAACUUAAGGAACUUAUUCCGAGCUUAGCUCAUUCUAAUAAUCGUCUAAAGAAACGAGAAAUGCAACAUCCCACUAAAUGUUGCAUAGUUAAGAAAGCCAUUGAAUAUAUAAAAGAAUUGAAAAAUGAACUCGAACUUUUAAAGCCACAAUCAGAGAGAAUAGGGUGAAAAAAUGUAAUGGUUUCAUGUGUGUCGCACUCCAUGAACUCACAUACUUUUUAAAUAGACAUGCUCAUCUA